UUUUUGCAUUUUUAAUAGAGAUGGGGUUUCACCAUGUUGUCCAGGCUGGUCUCAAACUCCUGACCUCAGUGAUCCACCUGCCUCGGCCUCCCAAAGUGCUGGGAUUACAGGUGUGAGCCACUGCACCUGGCCCUCUCCCUCACUUUAAAAAGAAAUUUGCGACCAGGCACGGUGGCUCACACCUGUGAUCCCAGCACUUUGGGAGGCCGAGGCAGGUGGAUCAUGAGGUCAGGAGUUCAGGACCAGCCUGGCCAAGAUGGUGAAACCCCAUCUCUACUAAAAAUACAAAAAUUAGCUGGGCAUGGUGGCGCGUGCCUGUAGUCCCAGCCACUCGGGAGGCUGAGGCAAGAGAAUCGCUUGAACCAGGGAGGUGGAGGUUGCAGUGAGCCGAGAUUGCGCCACUGCACUCCAGCCUGGCGACAGAGCAAGACUCCAUCUCAAAAAGAAAAGAAAUUUGCGGCCAGGUGUGGUGGCUCACACCUGUAAUCCCAGCACUUUGGGAAGCUGAGGCAGGUGGAUCACCUGAGGUCAGGAGUUCAAGACCAGCCUGGCCAACAUAGUGAAACCCCAUUCCUACUAAAAAUACAAAAAUUAGCCAGGCAUGACAGUGCACACCUAUAAUCGCAGCUACUUGGGAGUCUGAGUCAGGAGAAUUGCUUGAACCCAGGAGGUGGAGAUUGCAGUGAGCUGAGAUCGCACCAUUGCACUCCAGCCUGGGCAACAGAGUGAGACUCCGUCUCAAAAAAAAGAAAUUUGCUACCAUAUCAGCUCACUUUAAGGUCUGCAUCUGCUUAUGUGAGCCCUAUACCAGGGAAAAGAUCCCCAUGUCUUCCAUAGGAUUGCAAGCCUAAGAAUGUCAUUUCAGUGCUCCAGGUGUACCUACCUCCUGGUAGCUGUUUGCAGAGGACAAGAGAGCUGAGGGCUGGCCGGGUGUGGUGGCUCAUGCCUGUAAUCCCAGCACUUUGGAAGGCCAAGGUGGGCCUCACUUGAGGUGAGGAGUUUGAGACCAGUCUAGCCAAUAUGGUGAAACCCCAUCUCUACU
rnacentral:lncRNA from 1 species